CAGUGGGGAAUCUUGCGCAAUGGACGAAAGUCUGACGCAGCCACGCCGCGUGAGUGAAGAAGGCCUUCGGGUUGUAAAGCUCUGUCACCUGAGACGAAAACACUGACGGUUAAUAGCCGUCGGAAUUGACGGUAUCAGGGGAGGAAGCACCGGCUAACUUCGUGCCAGCAGCCGCGGUAAUACGAAGGGUGCAAGCGUUGCUCGGAAUUAUUGGGCGUAAAGGGUUGGUAGGUGGUCUUAUUUGUCUGAGGUGAAAUCCCAUGGCUUAACUGUGGAAGUGCCUCAGAAACGGUAAGACUAGAGUCCUAGAGGGGUUUGUGGAAUUCCCGGUGUAGCGGUGAAAUGCGUAGAGAUCGGGAGGAACACCAGCGGCGAAGGCGGCAAACUGGAUAGGCACUGACACUCAACAACGAAAGCGUGGGGAGCAAACAGGAUUAGA
rnacentral:rRNA from 1 species